CCUACGGGAGACAGCAGUCGAGAAUCAUUCACAAUGGGGGAAACCCUGAUGGUGCGACGCCGCGUGGGGGAAUGAAGGUCUUCGGAUUGUAAACCCCUGUCAUGUGGGAGCAAAUUAAAAAGAUAGUACCACAAGAGGAAGAGACGGCUAACUCUGUGCCAGCAGCCGCGGUAAUACAGAGGUCUCAAGCGUUGUUCGGAAUCACUGGGCGUAAAGCGUGCGCAGGCUGUUUCGUAAGUCGUGUGUGAAAGGCGCGGGCUCAACCCGCGGACGGCACAUGAUACUGCGAGACUAGAGUAAGGGAGGGGGAACCGGAAUUCUCGGUGUAGCAGUGAAAUGCGUAGAUAUCGAGAGGAACACUCGUGGCGAAGGCGGGUUCCUGGACAUUAACUGACGCUGAGGCACGAAGGCCAGGGGAGCGAAAGGGAUUAGAUACCCGUGUAGUC
rnacentral:rRNA from 1 species